GGGCCCGUGGCGCAGUCUGGCUAGCGCAUCGGCCUUUUAAGCCGGUUGUCGCGGGUUCAAAUCCCGCCGGGCCCG
rfam:Candidate divison MSBL1 archaeon SCGC-AAA259E19 AAA259E19_Contig_28, whole genome shotgun sequence.